AUUGAACGCUGGCGGCAUGCUUUACACAUGCAAGUCGAACGGUAACAGGCCUUCGGGUGCUGACGAGUGGCGAACGGUGAGUAAUGCAUCGGAACGUGCCCAAUCGUGGGGAUAACGUAGCGAAAGUUACGCUAAUACCGCAUAAGCCCUGAGGGGGAAAGUGGGGACCGCAAAGGCCUCACGCGAAUGGAGCGGCCGAUGUCAGAUUAGCUAGUUGGUGGGGUAAAGCCCACCAAGGCGACGAUCUGUAGCGGGUCUGAGAGGAUGAUCCGCCACACUGGGACUGAGACACGGCCCAGACUCCUACGGGAGGCAGCAGUGGGGAAUUUUGGACAAUGGGCGCAAGCCUGACGCAGCCAUGCCGCGUGAAUGAUGAAGGUCUUAGGAUUGUAAAGUUCUUUAGCCUGUGACGAUGAUGACGGUAACAGGAGAAUAAGCCCCGGNUAACUUCGUGCCAGCAGCCGUCGGUAAAGUGUGACUGU
rnacentral:rRNA from 1 species